rnacentral:rRNA from 1 species
AUUGAACGCUAGCGGGAUGCUUUACACAUGCAAGUCGAACGGAGUGGCGGACGGGUGAGAAAUAUAUCGGACCGUGCCCUGUAGCGGGGGUUAACUACUCGAAAGAGUGGUUAAUACCGCAUACCAUUGGAGAGGACGUGAACGGAUUAGCUAGUUGGUAGGGUAAAGGCUCACCAAGGCAACGAUCCGUAGCGGGUUUGAGAGGACGACCAGCCACACGGGAACUGAGACACGGCCCAGACUCCUACGGGAGGCAGCAGUGGGGAAUUUUGGGCAAUGGGGGAAACCCUGAUGCAGCCAUCCCGCGUGUAUGAUGAAGGUCUUCGGAUUGUAAAGUACUGUUGGCAGAGAAGCGGUAUCUGCAGAAUAAGCACCGGCUAACUACGUGCCAGCCGCCGCGGUAAUUC